ACACGCGCGCACACACACACACACACACACACACCCACACACACACACACACACACACACACCACAACUCGCAAUCGCUAAACUGGUCUGAGUCCACAGGUCACCAAAGAAGCUUCCAGGGAUAUAUCGGACCAAAAACCAUGACCCAGCCAGGGCCUUAUAUAGGCCCUGUGUGUGAUUCCAUCACAAAGGCUUUUCAUGAGUUCAGAGCAAAGCAGGGGCCAGUCAUGGCUGGGGAUCAUUCACAGAGGUUUUCUCACUUUUGGUCCCCAAAACAUCUUCCUCUUUUAAAAAGAAAAGUGCUUUUGUCUAGGUGGGUUAUAGAGAUUGAUAUUGUUUCCUAGCUAUUUAAACUGAUACAGCACUUCAACAGCAUUUUCAUUUGUAGUUUCUUUUUCUAUAAUUUUUUAUUAUACUCUUAAGUUCUGGGGUACAUAUGUAAAUUGUGCAGGUUUGUUCCAUAGGUUUACAUGUGCCAUGGUGGUUUUCAAUCAUUUGUAAUUUCAAAAUCUGAAACAGCUUUUGGAUUCUGAAGAUCUCCUAAUGUCUACAUGCAAAAUAUUCAAUUCCUUUUCUUUCAUCUCUGAAUGGUUGGUCUCAACCAUUGAGAAGGGAGAGAAUAUUUUCCUUUCCUUGUAGGGUUUUUCCUUCCUCAUGUGGUUGAGAUUAUGUAAUGGACACAGAGGAAACAGACACAUCCUACCCUCCACGAGCCCAUAGCCUCGUCAGGAAGGCCCCCCAGCCAUGAAGCUCCUUCAGCGUGAGGAGCACCAGCAUGACCUUCCAGUGCCUUCAUCGGCCUCCACAGAGCUCGUCCUGGUAGAGGACGUGAGGGUGAGCCUGGAAGAGGUGACCAUCUACGACCGUCUUGGCUUCCAGAUACAGCCCUUGCCCUGCCAGCUACCUGGGUAAGACCCUCUUGUGCCUGGGGGACCCCCUCGCCCUCCAACACACACACAGCCCAACUCUCCCUGAAUCUGCCUCCUGCAGGUGGAGCUCCACCUCAGGAAAGACUCGGGUGACUUCUUCCUCAACACCAGUGCUGCGGACGACAUCAAGACGGCCUACCAGGAAACCAGGGCCAGCGCCAUGGUAAGUUUGGGUCAUUGGUCCCCGGGGUGAUUUUCAUUCUUCAUCUGGGCCAUCGUGAUGUUCAUAGAUUGGUAUUUUAAAAGCUGUCACUUAAUCUCAUCAGCUAUAAGUAGCAAAGCUGUCAGAGUCUCUGAUUUAUUCUGCAACUUUAGUCAUUUCCAUGCUACCUUGUGAUUUUUUUUAAUUUUUGAGACAGAGUCUCACUCUGUUGCCUGGGCUGGAGUGCAGUGGCAGGAUCCUAGCUCACUGCAGCCUUCACCUCCUGGGCUUAAGUGACCCUCCCAACUCAGCCUCUGGAGUAGCUGUGACUACCGCCACCCGGCGGUGCACACCACCACACCCGGCUAAUUUUUGUAUUUUUUGUAGAGAUGGGAUCUUGCCAUGUUGCCCAGGCUGGUCUCAAACUCCUGGGCUCAAGAGAUCCACCGGCCCUGGCCUCUCAAAGUGCUGGCAUUCCCGUUGUGACCCUCCGCACCCAGGCUACCUUGAUGAUUUUCAUUCCACGUCCACAAACUACCCACACUGUUACCUAGUGGUUUCCUUUCUGUCAGUCUUUUCAUUAAGAUUAAAAUGUUAUUACAUAAGCAGCACUCUAACAACAAUAAAGAAAAUGGCUUUUAAAGAGGCCGCACCUUUCUCUGUUUCCCCAUUCCCUCUCCCUAUUCUUGCGAGUGUUGACUUAUCUGUGCUCGUGGCAUGGAAGAAUUUAGUGUUCUGUUUUCCACGAUCUUAUUCUGUUCUCACUUUUUCUAUUUCCCCGUGUUGAUAGGGAGGCUGGCUGAUGAUUUUUAUGUCGUCAUUUGUACUUUUGCCAUUCUUUUCUAAUCAGAGCGUUUGGAAGGCCAAAGUGUUUUUGUUCUUCCAAAAAUAUAGGGAAGAAUAGAAUGAAAAGAGUAAAAACAAACACUAUCAGACACGUCUGCAUAUCUGCACGAUGGGUUAUGAUGAAAUCACAAAUACAGAACUUACUUUAGAAGGGAGCUCUUACUACUGAAAGUGUAAUAAACCCUCUCUAAGUCAUCGACCCAAGGCAGCCCAAAGCCGAUUGGUUUGAUACAACAAUGGCAGUGACACCCACCCCAGCAUGUCGUUAAACCACUGCUGUGCUGUGGCCUUUGAGCUGCUGUGAGCCCAAGACCUGCUUUCCUCUGUUAAAAGGGGCGGUUCCACGUGCUUGAGGGGUGUGGCAGUCAGGCCAGCUUCAGAGACUUUCUCCGGACCCAGCGAGGCCUGGGUCGAUCCGGUGCUCGGUGUGUGGUGGGGACUCAGAUGGUGCAGCGCUGUGGGUGGGCUAGAGGUGCCCUGACCGUGGGUCUCCUGCCGUCCUGAUACUCGGGUUUGCUCUUGGCUUUGCCUGGUUCAUGGAGGUAGCCCUUGAGGGCUCGCAGCAGCAGGAAACAACUUCCUGGCUUGAGGAGAGGCCAAAGUCGGAAUUCACUGCCUGGCACAGAAACACAGGGUUCCUGGGAAGCUGGAACCUGCCUUAUGAAAGCCCCCAUUCCCAUCACCCCCUCCAU